rnacentral:tRNA from 1 species
AGGGAAAAAGUUUAAUCAGAACAGUCCUUUUACAAGGGAAAAGUAAUUCUCUA